rnacentral:misc_RNA from 1 species
UCCGGUUUGGCACCGGCAGUCCCCCUAGAGUCCCCGGCUCGGGCUUGCGCCCUCUCCGCUGGUAACUAGGGGCGGGGGUUGCGCUCGUUGCGGGACUUAACCCAACAUCUCACGACACGAGCUGACGACAGCCAUGCAGCACCUGUGCGCGGACUCCGAAGAGGGGCCCCCGUCUCUGGGGGCUUUCCCGCGCAUGUCAAGCCCAGGUAAGGUUCUUCGCGUUGCAUCGAAUUAAGCCACAUGCUCCGCCGCUUGUGCGGGUCCCCGUCAAUUCCUUUGAGUUUUAGCCUUGCGGCCGUACUCCCCAGGCGGGGCACUUAAUGCGUUAGCUUCGGCACGGAGGGAGUCGACACCCCCCACACCUAGUGCCCAUCGUUUACAGCGUGGACUAC